CCGAAUUCCCAGUCAGGGUCAGGAGGUAGCAGAAAAGGACAAGGGCGAAGAGGACAGGCUGCAGGGAGGGCCAGUCCGAGAAACCCAGCAGGAGGAAGCGCUCCUCUGUGCUCUGGUUGGCCUAAAGGAGGGAAACUCCCAGAACGUUUGAAAGGACGACAUACAAAAGGGGUGGUACCUGUGCUAUAGUACAAACUGGAUGCUGUGUUUUCACACCAGAUGAGUCAUCUACUGUCACCCACUUGGAAUGAUGAUAGCUUGAUGUCUGGAGAUGACUGACCACUCCUAUAACAGUUUUCCUAAUGAAGAUCCAUGAAAGUCUUCUGUUUUGGAUGCCACCUAAGAUGCCCUUCCUUCUUGCUCAAAUGUGCCCAUAAGCUUUAUGAAGCAGACCAGUCACACAACCACCCCUUUCUGUCCUCCAUGGGACAUGACUUUCUGAGAAUGAGCCUUCCCAGAGUCAAGGAAGUUAGUGCUGAUGCAAAAAUAAUAUAAUAGUUGAUCAUAAAGAUAUUUAUUGGACCCUGACCCUAAAUAACCCAUGACAGUCUAUCCCUUAAGGACAAAAGUUUCUUUUUAGUGUCAGAGUCAAUCAUAAUUCUUGCAAAACAAUUUUAACCACCUUGUGGCUUUUGCCCUGACUCUUUCUCUUUCCUAGAACACUCUUUUGGUUUUACCAGAAUCCGUGUCUCUCAAACUGCAAUUUCUAAGACCCCCAAAGAAAGCUUUUUGUUUUUUGCAGCCUAGUUGUUGAUGCUAGUUCAACACCUUGUUACCCA